CGAACGUGGAUAACCUGCCUCAUAGUGGGGGAGUAACAGUUGGAAACGGCUGCUAAUACCGCAUAAGCGCACAGCAUCGCAUGAUGCCGUGUGAAAAACUCCGGUGCUAUGAGAUGGAUCCGCGUCUGAUUAGCUAGUUGGUAGGGUAAGAGCCUACCAAGGCGACGAUCAGUAGCCGGCCUGAGAGGGCGACCGGCCACAUUGGGACUGAGACACGGCCCAGACUCCUACGGGAGGCAGCAGC
rnacentral:rRNA from 1 species